GACCGCUGAUCAUUGUGCUGGUGUUCAGUGUGAUAUUGAGCUGUGCUGCAGUGCUUGUGAUCACGCUGUGCAAAACCAGUGAGUCUUUUAGACUAUUUACUCAGCCUAUACAUUACUUAUUACAAUCAAUAUGAAACUAUUCAUUCACAUUUAUGCUCUUUUUUUUUGGCAACAAAUGAGCAGAGCGAGUGUUGCCAAGAAGUACCAGCUUAAGGAAUCUCAGACAGUCACACACUGAGAAUACAUACGCUGAGAUUCCCUGUGAAGGACCGCUGGCUCAGGUACUGUCUGAAGCCUUCAAAGAAUACAGGGUUAAAGAGACUCAGAAACACACAGCACUGGAAUCCACUUUGCUUCUGUACUUGGAUUUUCCUUUGCCUCAUUCCUGCACAAUAUGGAACAUUUAGCAUCUAUAUUAUGAGAGCUUGAUGUUCAGUGUGUCUGACCAGGGCUGUGUGUAACGUUUGCUACAGGCGGCUCUCAGAGAGGAUGACGUGAUCUACUCCACAGUCUCACCUGGAUAUCUUUAUCAGGUAAACUCACUACUGGCUCUACAACACACCUAGUCAGGUUAGAAUCUUACAUGG
rnacentral:lncRNA from 1 species